rnacentral:rRNA from 1 species
GACGAACGCUGGCGGCGUGCUUAACACAUGCAAGUCGAACGGAAAGGCCCUGCUUUUGUUGGGUGCUCGUUUGGCGAACGGGUGAGUAACACGUGAGUAACCUGCCCUUGACUUUGGGAUAACUUCAGGAAACUGGGGCUCAUACCGGAUAUGAUCUCCUGCUCCAUGUUGUGGGUUGGAAAGUUUCGGCGGUUGGGGAUGGUCUCGCUGCUUAUCCGCUUGUUAGUGUGGUAGUGGCUUACCAAGGCUUUGACGGGUAGCCGGCCUGGGAGGGUGACCGGCCACAAUGGGACUGAGAGACGGAGCAGAAUGCUACGGGAGGCAGCAGUGGGGAAUAUUGCACAAUGGGCGGAAGCCAGAUGCAGAAACGCCGCGUGCGGGAUGACGGCCUUCGGGUUGUAAACAGCUUUCGCCUGUGACGAAGCGUGAGUGACGGUAAUGGGUAAAGAAGCACCGGCUAACUACGUG